ACGAGUGGCGGACGGGUGAGUAAUGUCUGGGAAACUGCCCGAUGGAGGGGGAUAACUACUGGAAACGGUAGCUAAUACCGCAUAACGUCGCAAGACCAAAGAGGGGGACCUUCGGGCCUCUUGCCGUCGGAUGUGCCCAGAUGGGAUUAGCUAGUAGGUGGGGUAACGGCUCACCUAGGCGACGAUCCCUAGCUGGUCUGAGAGGAUGACCAGCCACACUGGAACUGAGACACGGUCCAG
rnacentral:rRNA from 1 species